rnacentral:lncRNA from 1 species
ACUGAGAAAUCUUUAAGAGUUCAUCUUCUGAUGCCAAAUGUGGCCCACUCCAGUUCUACAAGCAAAUCUGACAGAAGAGAGCACCUGUGUCCACCAGCUCACACAUACAAGAGUAUGAGGUUUUGGCUGGUUUUGCUUUUGAGGCAGGGUCUUGCUCUGCAGCUCAGGAUGUCCUUAAAUUUGCAAUCCUCCUGCCUCAGCCUGGAAUUAUAGGCAUAUGCUUCUAUACCAAACUUAUAACAAUGUUAAGAGAGGUUUUAUUCGUAUCUCCAAAGUGGAAACACCCUAAAUACCAAUCUAUUAUAAAACAUAAUAAAUCGGAGUACUUUAUCGAAAUAACAACUGGAGACUCUCCAGCAAUAAAGAAUGAAUAAUUCCUAUUACUGAUGAAUGGAUUGAGGGCCUAAUAGUCAGUGAGGGAAGUCAGUAUGUAUGAUUUAAUUUAUUUAAAAUUCAAGAAAAGUAAGACUUUAAUGACAGAAAUCAGAAUAGACCUCCCCACCAUUCCCUAAUGGGAAAUAACCUAAAUCUCUCUGAACAUAAUGAUUCUGGCAGCCAUCUUGCCAGACUGUAAGAGAAGCACAGAUAACAUAUAUCUAACACCCAACAGUAGUUCCCAGCACAGCGCAUUAGCUGAAUAAAGAGUACUUUGUACUAUAUAUAGUCUCGAUUUAGGUCAGUCUAAGAGUUGCGAGGCAAAAGGAUAGUUUUGCUGAUAGUCAACCCUAAAGUUCUAAUUGCUUUUGCUUUUGGAAAUCUCCCAAUAGUUCUUCUUUCUUUCUCCUGUACUAACUUCAUAUAUAUUAUAUGUAUUUGUACAUAUAUGUGUAAAUGUGAAUAUAUGAAUAUAUAUGUAUGUAUGUGUGUAUAGAAGUGUGUGUGUGUGUGUGUGUGUGUGUGUGUGUGUGUGUGUAGCGUGACUUGCUUUCUACAUGCCUUAACUGUGCCCUCUGUUGUAUCUACUAUGAUAAACCAGUAGCAAGGACA